UCUCCGUAGGUGAACCUGCGGAGGGAUCAUUACAGAGUUCUCGCCCUCGCGGGUAGAUCUCCCACCCACUGUUAUCGUUACUGUGUUGCUUUGGCGGGCCGCCGGGCCCCGCUCGGCCGCCGGCUCCGGCUGGCGCGCGCGCCCAAGAGGGCCAGCAAACUCUGAAUGAUAGUGUCGUGUGAGUAAUAUAUAAUAGUUAAAACUUUCAACAACGGAUCUCUUGGUUCUG
rnacentral:misc_RNA from 1 species